GCUCUGUUAUCCUUUCGGAAAACCAUUAUGGUCCUGCUGAAUUUGGUCCUGAGAAAGAAUUUAGGGGAAAUAUUAAAAAUAUUAAAAAGCCCCAAACUUUAUCACUUUUGCACAAAUUGACUGUUCCCAAUACUCACAGUCAAACCUGCAACCACGCGGUUGCAAGUGCAAGAUUUAUGCCAUUGUACCAAGCACUGAGAGAAACCAAAAAGGACCAGAUUUGCUACCUAAGAUUUUCUAAGGAAAAAUGCUGAAGCUCAAAAUUUAGAAAUCCUCGUCAAGAUGAGCAGACUCUCAACUAAGCAAUCCAAAAUAGAAAUUAAAAAAGUUUAAAAAUAAACAUCAACGGAAGAAUUAGGGCGAAUUUGAGUGCUGGUAAAAGCCUGCCUUUAACAACAAGCAUUCUCCUGUUUCAAAAUUGAUAACAAUUUGACCAAAAAACCAAAGAAAAACCUGAAUGCUGGAUUACUACUCAGCACAACAGUUCUAAUUUCCCGCUAUUUCAUCUUUCCAGUUAAAUAUCAGGUCAAAACAAUUAAACCUUAAACGCAACUUUGAUAAAAUGACCAUAACAGGCAGCAAAAUCAAAUAUCCGAAGGUGGCAACAAGUCAAGAAAUUAUACUGCAAUUUUAUACGAUGAGCUUAGUCGCCCAAGGAAUUACUAUCCCCAAGUAAAAUUAAAAAUUUUUUAGAAUCGAAACAGAUUUGCGAUAUGAAGGGGAAAAAG
rnacentral:misc_RNA from 1 species